rnacentral:rRNA from 1 species
UUUGAUCAUGGCUCAGGAUGAACGCUGGCGGCGUGCUUAACACAUGCAAGUCGAACGGGCUCUUCGGAGCUAGUGGCGGACGGGUGAGUAACGCGUGAGAAUCUGCCUACAGGACGGGGACAACAGUUGGAAACGACUGCUAAUACCCGAUGUGCCGAGAGGUGAAACAUUUAUGGCCUGUAGAUGAGCUCGCGUCUGAUUAGCUAGUUGGUGGGGUAAGGGCCUACCAAGGCGACGAUCAGUAGCUGGUCUGAGAGGAUGAUCAGCCACACUGGGACUGAGACACGGCCCAGACUCCUACGGGAGGCAGCAGUGGGGAAUUUUCCGCAAUGGGCGCAAGCCUGACGGAGCAACGCCGCGUGGGGGAGGAAGGUUUUUGGACUGUAAACCCCUUUUCUCAGGGGAAAGAAAGUGACGGUACCUGAGGAAUAAGCCUCGGCUAAUUCCGUGCCAGCAGCCGCGGUAAUACGGGAGAGGCAAGCGUUAUCCGGAAUUAUUGGGCGUAAAGCGUCCGCAGGCGGUUAAUCAAGUCUGUUGUCAAAGCGUGGGGCUCAACCUCAUACAGGCAAUGGAAACUGAUUGACUAGAGUAUGGUAGGGGUAGCGGGAAUUCCAGGUGUAGCGGUGAAAUGCGUAGAUAUCUGGAAGAACACCAGCGGCGAAAGCGCGCUACUGGGCCAUAACUGACGCUCAUGGACGAAAGCUAGGGAGCGAAAGGGAUUAGAUACCCCUGUAGUCCUAGCCGUAAACGAUGAACACUAGGUGUUGCGUGAAUCGACCCGCGCAGUGCCGUAGCCAACGCGUUAAGUGUUCCGCCUGGGGAGUACGCACGCAAGUGUGAAACUCAAAGGAAUUGACGGGGGCCCGCACAAGCGGUGGAGUAUGUGGUUUAAUUCGAUGCAACGCGAAGAACCUUACCAGGGUUUGACAUCCCCCGAAUCUCUUGGAAACGAGAGAGUGCCUUCGGGAGCGGGGAGACAGGUGGUGCAUGGCUGUCGUCAGCUCGUGUCGUGAGAUGUUGGGUUAAGUCCCGCAACGAGCGCAACCCACGUUUUUAGUUGCCAUCAUUCAGUUGGGCACUCUAGAGAAACUGCCGGUGACAAACCGGAGGAAGGUGUGGACGACGUCAAGUCAUCAUGCCCCUUACAUCCUGGGCUACACACGUACUACAAUGCUCCGGACAGCGAGACGCGAAGCCGCGAGGUGAAGCAAAUCUCCCAAACCGGGGCUCAGUUCAGAUUGCAGGCUGCAACUCGCCUGCAUGAAGGCGGAAUCGCUAGUAAUCGCAGGUCAGCAUACUGCGGUGAAUACGUUCCCGGGCCUUGUACACACCGCCCGUCACACCAUGGAAGUUGGCCAUGCCCGAAGUCGUUACCCUAACCGUUCGCGGAGGGGGGCGCCGAAGGUAGGGCUGAUGACUGGGGUGAA